CAGAUUUGAUCAUGGCUCAGGAUGAACGCUAGCUACAGGCUUAACACAUGCAAGUCGAGGGGAAACGACAUCGAAAGCUUGCUUUUGAUGGGCGUCGACCGGCGCACGGGUGAGUAACGCGUAUCCAACCUGCCCAUCACUUGGGGAUAACCUUGCGAAAGUAAGACUAAUACCCAAUGACGUCUCUAGAAGACAUCUGAAAGAGAUUAAAGAUUUAUCGGUGAUGGAUGGGGAUGCGUCUGAUUAGCUUGUUGGCGGGGUGACGGCCACAAGGCGACGAUCAGUAGGGGUUCUGAGAGGAAGGUCCCCCANAUUGGAACUGAGACACGGUCCAAACUCCUACGGGAGGCA
rnacentral:rRNA from 1 species